ACCAGGAGUGGGAUGGGACAGGAUUUUUUUUUUUUUAAUGCUGGCCUGGAAUUGGACAAGACAUUUUUCUGUGGGAGCGGGUUGGGAUAGGAGAGAAAAUCCACUCCCGUGUCACCCUCUAUCACACAAAGGAAACCAAGUUAGUUGAGUCAAGGGGACGCGCUUAGUGUUUCUGUCAGUUUCAUUUACCUGGAAGCUAUGAGAAGAUUUUCUGGACGACAGUGAGGUUUUCAGAAGAAAUGCUUUCCUACUUAUUAGUAAAAUGAUGGAGAUGACUCCAGAAGACACUUCUGAAUUGGUGGAUGAGAUUCUUCAUAGCAUCUUCUUUUUGGGGGAGAUUAAUAGACCAGCAUUUUCUCCCAGAGAACUUUUGGAUGAUGAUGAGGACUUGAUUGCUUAAUGAAAGACCAUCCGGAGCCUUUCAAACAUUAUUCCUCUCAGCUACCUAGACGGAGUCCCAUUUCAUGUCUGCUGGACAUGGUGAGAUAUUUUUAUUUGGUAAAGUCUAGCCAAAGAUUUCACACCCCUAAACUUUUUCCCAUUUUGUGAUCUUACGACCACAAACGUUAAUGGCACAGACCGACACCCACUAGUGAAUAAUUGUGAAGUAGAACAAAAAUGACAUGAAUUGACAUUUUACACAAAAUUCAGCCAAUCAGUAAAGUGGCUGCCUGUGUGUAAUGGAAAGUAUGAUGUUGGCUUCGAAAUUUAGCUUUUGCUUUUCAUUAUUUUUGUUUCAUCUUAGGUGGUUUACCUGGAGGGACGAGAGAAUGAAGAUGCAAUAAGAACGAGACUGCAAGAAAUAACCUGUGAGUUGAUGACAAAUGCUCC